CGUGCGAGAGCCUUUGUGCGGAUGCGUUUGAUAUUUCCUUCGAUGCUGACUGCAAUGGCUUUUGCGAAUGGGACGGGACAAGGCAGCUCCGAGAAAUGCGAGGUCAGAAAACUUUCAUGGGAAAACUCGAUCCGGGGCCUAAAGCAGCCGCGUGCUGACGCAGCGUCAUUUUUAACGCCCACAGCCGUAAGCCGGUGUAGAGGCUAAUUUGCUCAGGUUGCAAGCGACUCCCUCCCUCAUGAAGCGUCCUUGGAGGAGCUUUGAGUUGCUUGGUAAAACAGCAAGUGAUGGCGCAUUGGCUGACGGUGUAGCGCAGCAGGCCGUUCACCAGGUGCGCGUUCCAGAACGUCUCGCCCGCCACCCACAUCGGCACGAGCGUCGGCAACACGAAGCAGAAAAGCGUCACCAGAGG